AGAUGAAGAAAUUGAAGAAGAAAUUGCAGAACUAUUUAGAACAAGAAAGAAAGGAAGACGAUAUGUUCAAUGGAGUGAGAAAGAUUCAAACACUGUAAAAUCCUACUUCAAACAAUAUAUCCAGGAUGUAUCUAAAGAAGGUGCAAAAGGGAGAAUGCCUGGUUUUAAGGACAUAAAAAUAUUUAUGGAGUUACAUCCAAAUGUAAUGGCCCAAGAGAGUGACUUUUUGACAAGGAGAGAUAUUAUCAAAUCAAAAAUAUUUAAUGAAAGAAAAAAGUUCAGAGGAAUAUAUGAGGAGAGGAAAAAGAAUUAUUCCU